rnacentral:rRNA from 1 species
GAUGAACGCUGGCGGCGUGCCUAAUACAUGCAAGUAGAACGCUGAAGGAGGAGCUUGCUCUUCUGGAUGAGUUGCGAACGGGUGAGUAACGCGUAGGUAACCUGCCUGGUAGCGGGGGAUAACUAUUGGAAACGAUAGCUAAUACCGCAUGACAACAGUUAUUGCAUGAUAACUGUUUAAAAGGGGCAACUGCUCCACUACCAGAUGGACCUGCGUUGUAUUAGCUAGUUGGUGAGGUAACGGCUCACCAAGGCGACGAUACAUAGCCGACCUGAGAGGGUGAUCGGCCACACUGAGACUGGGACACGGCCCAGACUCCUACGGGAGGCAGCAGUAGGGAAUCUUCGGCAAUGGACGGAAGUCUGACCGGGCAACGCCGCGUGAGUGAAGAAGGUUUUCGGGUCGUAAAGCUCUGUUGUAAGAGAAGAACGAGUGUGAGAGUGGAAAGUUCACUCUGUGGCGGUAUCUAACCAGAAAGAGACGGCUAACUACGUG